AAAUUGAAGAGUUUGAUCAUGGCUCAGAUUGAACGCUGGCGGCAGGCCUAACACAUGCAAGUCGAACGGUAACAGGAAGCAGCUUGCUGCUUUGCUGACGAGUGGCGGACGGGUGAGUAAUGUCUGGGAAACUGCCUGAUGGAGGGGGAUAACUACUGGAAACGGUGGCUAAUACCGCAUAACGUCGCAAGACCAAAGAGGGGGACCUUCGGGCCUCUUGCCAUCAGAUGUGCCCAGAUGGGAUUAGCUUGUUGGUGAGGUAACGGCUCACCAAGGCGACGAUCCCUAGCUGGUCUGAGAGGAUGACCAGCCACACUGGAACUGAGACACGGUCCAGACUCCUACGGGAGGCAGCAGUGGGGAAUAUUGCACAAUGGGCGCAAGCCUGAUGCAGCCAUGGCGCGUGUAUGAAGAAGGCCUUCGGGUUGUAAAGUACUUUCAGCGGGGAGGAAGGUGUUG
rnacentral:rRNA from 1 species